rnacentral:rRNA from 1 species
GACGAACGCUGGCGGCGUGCUUAACACAUGCAAGUCGAACGGUAAGGCCCCUUCGGGGGUCCACGAGUGGCGAACGGGUGAGUAACACGUGGGUGAUCUGCCCUGCACUUCGGGAUAAGCCUGGGAAACUGGGUCUAAUACCGGAUAGGACCACGCUCUGCAUGGAGUGUGGUGGAAAGCUUUUGCGGUGUGGGAUGGGCCCGCGGCCUAUCAGCUUGUUGGUGGGGUGAUGGCCUACCAAGGCGACGACGGGUAGCCGGCCUGAGAGGGUGUCCGGCCACACUGGGACUGAGAUACGGCCCAGACUCCUACGGGAGGCAGCAGUGGGGAAUAUUGCACAAUGGGCGCAAGCCUGAUGCAGCGACGCCGCGUGGGGGAUGACGGCCUUCGGGUUGUAAACCUCUUUCAGUACCGACGAAGCGCAAGUGACGGUAGGUACAGAAGAAGCACCGGCCAACUACGUG